GAGCGACCAGCCAUCUCCCCCCCUCUCUCUCAUUACUACAGUGGGAGUUUCUGUUCGAAGCGAUUGCGAUGACCAUGGAAAAGGGGACCGCUUUCUCUCUCUCUUUGUCUACGUCCACUCGGAUUUCGUGAGCGGAGAUAUUUUUGCAGGGAGAAAGGGAAAGAUGAGGAGGAGCUCGGGAAAAGCUCUUUCAUGGCGAUCUGGGAGAGCGAGCUGCUAGGGUGAAGCUUGGUUUUGUUUUCUUUUCACGGCUUUUUGGGGAUUUGGGGUCUUGCUGAGUAAAAAUGCACGAUCUCUGAGUUGGAUGGGCAAAGACAGACAGUGCUUGUGUCCUUUUCGUUCUGAUUUGGUCUUGAUUUCCGUUUGAACUUGGUGAAAGCAGCUUUUAACCUUGGUUGCGCUGUGUUCCGAAUUCCCAAUGUGGUGAGAGAGACAGUAUGGUUGCGUGACUGAGAUCUCUUCGAUGAGUAUGCUGUAUGGUAUCUUGAAGUUGCAAAAACCGUGAUAAUUUCCUGGAAAUGGAAGGAAUGUUGGUGGAAUUGAGAUUGGAGAUUUUCUGACGUUUGAGCUGGGGCCGAGUUUCUUCAUGGAUAUUAUCUAGCUCUGGAGUUUCUCCUUUCUCCUUUCUCCUUUCUGCUUUGUUUUGGCUCAAACGUUUCUAGAUUUUUCUCUGGUCUCUGGAGUAGUGGAAUGUGGAUGCAUGAGAGCUAGAAGUUGGUAAUGUUUGGUAUGGGCUUCAGGUUACUAAAUUCAAGAGUAGAUUUUUUUCCAUGGAUAACCGAAUUAUAGUGGCAGUAGGGAGCAGACUUGGGAAGAAGAUUUCGACAUCUUUGAGUGAGGUUUAUUGAGGCUAGGGGUUUUGAAGAUGAAACUUUCGACGUCAGGAAUGGUUCAGCAGGGUCAAGAAGGGCAGAAGAGAUGUUUGAAUUCGGAACUUUGGCAUGCUUGUGCCGGGCCUCUUGUUUCACUACCAACCGUUGGUACCCGCGUUGUCUACUUUCCUCAGGGUCACAGUGAACAGGUUGCUGCCUCUACUAACAAGGAAGUUGACAGUCACAUACCCAAUUAUCCGAACUUGCCGCCACAACUGAUUUGUCAACUCCACGAUGUUACAAUGCAUGCAGAUGUGGAAACAGAUGAAGUGUAUGCCCAAAUGACAUUGCAGCCUCUGACACCGGAAGAGCAAAAGGAAACUUACCUCCCUGCCGAGCUUGGUGUUCCGAGUAAGCAGCCCACUAAUUAUUUUUGCAAGACUUUGACGGCAAGUGAUACUAGUACUCAUGGAGGAUUCUCUGUUCCUCGUCGUGCUGCUGAGAAAGUGUUCCCUCCACUUGAUUUCUCACAGCAGCCACCAGCUCAAGAACUCAUUGCAAGAGAUCUCCAUGAUGUUGAAUGGAAAUUUAGGCAUAUCUUCCGAGGACAGCCCAAAAGGCAUCUUCUUACCACAGGAUGGAGUGUAUUUGUCAGUGCCAAGAGACUUGUAGCUGGUGAUUCUGUUCUUUUUAUUUGGAAUGAAAAGAACCAGCUUCUGUUGGGAAUUCGCCGUGCCAAUCGACCACAAACUGUAAUGCCAUCCUCGGUUUUAUCAAGUGAUAGUAUGCAUAUAGGACUCCUUGCUGCUGCAGCCCAUGCUGCUGCUACUAACAGCCGUUUCACAAUCUUUUAUAAUCCAAGGGCUAGUCCAUCUGAGUUUGUGAUACCCCUGUCAAAGUUUGUUAAGGCAGUAUAUCACACUCGUGUUUCUGUUGGCAUGCGUUUUCGGAUGCUAUUUGAGACUGAGGAAUCAAGUGUUCGUAGGUACAUGGGCACUAUAACUGGCAUAAGUGAUUUAGAUCCUGCACGUUGGCCAAAUUCUCAUUGGCGCUCUGUCAAGGUUGGUUGGGACGAGUCAACAGCAGGUGAGAGACAACCAAGAGUGUCAUUGUGGGAAAUUGAACCUUUGACAACUUUCCCCAUGUACCCAUCAUUAUUCCCCCUCAGGCUGAAAAGACCUUGGCAUCCUGGUGUAUCUUCUCUUCAUGAUAAUAAAGAUGAUGUAGCUAAUGGUUUAAUGUGGCUGAGAGGGGAAACUGGAGAGCGAGGUCUCCAAUCCCUGAAUUUUCAGGCACUUGGUGUGAGCCCCUGGAUGCAUCAGAGAGUUGAUACCUCACUGUUAGGAAAUGAACAUGAUCAUCAAUACCAUAACAUGGCAGCAGCAGCCUUGCAGGAUAUAAGAAGUGGUGAUCCUCUGAAGCAACAAUUUCUACAAUUGCAGCAGCCUUUCCAGUACCUUCAACAAUCAUACAGGCCUAAUCCACUGUUGCAGCAGCAGCAGCAAAUGAUUAAUCAAACAGUCCCUCAGCCUAUUCUUCAUCAACAAAACCAAAACAUAUUGGAUAGUCAACCUCGGCACCUUGUGCAGCAACAUUUGCAGCAGCCAUUUAGUGAUCAACAGCAGAAUCUGCAGACACAACAGCAACAAAUCUACCAAGAGACAUUUCAGAUUGCAAAUAAUCAGCUUCAGCAGCAGCGAUCUACAUUGGCAACUCCCUUGUGUCUGAAACCAGAUUUCACUGAUUCAAGCAUAACCUUCCCAGCACCUGUAACUCCAUGCAUGCAAAGUAUGUUGGGUUCAGUGUCUUCUGAAGGGAGUGGCAAUGUUUUGAACUUCACAAGAGUUGGUCAGUCCAUGAGGAGUGAGCAACAACAGCAGCAAGCAUGGGGUCAAAAGUUUCCUUAUUCACAAACCAAUGCAUUCACUAACCCAGUACCCCUCCCAACCUUCCCUGUAAAAGGUGGUGCUGUGGAUUUGGACAACUGUAGUGGAGAUCCCCAGAAUCAUACUCUUUUUGGUGUUAAUAUUGAUUCUUCUCCACUCCUACUCCCCACUUCAGUGCCCAAUCUUGGUUCCUCUUCAGUUGAGCCUGAUGUAUCCUCUAUGCCAUUUGGAGGUUCUGGUUUUCAGAAUUCUCUGUAUGGUUGCAUGGAGAAUUCAUCUGAUUUGCUGAAUAGUGCAGGUCAAGUUGACCCUCCAACUAGAACUUUUGUCAAGGUCUAUAAAUCUGGCUCAGUUGGGAGGUCGCUUGACAUUUCCCGGUUCAGUAGCUAUCAUGAGCUACGAGAGGAGCUGGGUCAGAUGUUUGGGAUUGAGGAGCAACUGGAGGACCCACUGAGAUCAGGCUGGCAGCUUGUAUUUGUCGACAGGGAGAAUGAUGUACUUCUCCUUGGAGACGACCCUUGGGAGUCAUUUGUGAAUAAUGUGUGGUAUAUCAAGAUACUUUCUCCCGAGGAUGUACAAAAACUGGGGAAGCAAGAGGUAGAUGCUUUAAGCUCCAAUGGAGAUCAAAGGCAUAGCAAUAGUAGCUAUGAUGUUCGGAACUUUACAUCUGGGAUAUCUUCUGUGGGAUCUCUUGAAUAUUGAUAAUGAUACAAAAUGGUUCCUCUUCUUUUUUCUCUCAAUUGGAUUCAUGUUUCACUAAGAUCAACAGUGAGCUCGAGUAAUUGAAGAGGUUUUUUUUUUGGAGCUCAAAGGUAAGCGCUGCAUUGCAUCUGCCGACGGUAGUAAUAUAAAAUGAAGUUUGAAUUAAUUACCCAAAAAAACACAGUUUGAAUUAUAUUCUGUACUCCAUUUCCUAUGUAAUAUAUGCAUGGACAUGUGAACUUGAAGCCUGAUAGAUCUCCAGUUCAGUUUGACCUGAAGUGUUGUACUGAUCUAUUACUUCGCAAGGAUAUUAGCACUCUCCUGUGUUUUGUUUCACUACCUAGUUUUUACAUGGUAGGUUUUGCAUUCACACUAUGUUUUGCUUGA